CGGCGGCGACCAUGGCGAAGACUGAGAGCACCAUGCCGACGCCAAUCCUCUGGAGCAUCGUCAAGCCCGAGGGCCGCCCGGUGAAGGCUCUGAUUAUGGGGACGAAGACGCGGUCGUAGAUGGGCACGAAGGCGAGGACGGAGAGGUUGAUGAAACUCUGGAGCGCCGCAGGGGGGACGAGGAAGGAGCGGGUGAUUCUUUUGUCCAUGGUGCUGCCCUGCUUGGUGAAUAAGGUCGAGCACUGCGCAAACACCACGGCGUACAGCAAGCAGGUUGCCCAGAUUGGAAGCAAUCUGACGACCCCUCGACGGCUCUCUGCGACACCAUCCUCCUCCCCGGCAGACCUUCAGAGUGGGAGCCCAUGAGGAAAGACGCCAUCUUCUUUAUACUGAAAUAGGCUUUUCCAGGGUCUGGAGGAUCCUUACCCGCCAUGGAGGAGAGCUUCCUUCGCUUCUUCCGGGAACGGCGCCCGCCGGCUGCUCGAGAAACUGCCGUCGGCUCCGGCGAGCUGCGCGAGUGGGUUCUUGCGGCGGGGAGCGCAGUAGCGGUAGGUCCUGGUGCCGCUCAAGAAGAUGGCGAAGGAGAUCGCCAUGGAAGCACACGGCAGCCCAAAUCCGAGACCCCAGCCGAUGUUGUCCUGGACGUAGGACAUCACCAGUACUGUGAACGCUGUGCCGCCGCAGACCCCGAAGUACAGCCAGUUGAAGAAGGAGCUCCUGGACCUGCACUCUUCUGGGUCGUCGCCGUCGAACUGAUCGGCCCCGAAGGCCUGCGCNNNNNNNNNNNNNNNNNNNNACAGGGCUUGCGGAUGCCCAGCGCGACAGCCACCAGGUACAACGCGGAGAAGAAGAACGCCGUCUGGAAUUGAGAGGGGAGGCAGCUCUCCCGGCUGCCGCCGGCGCACUCCGGCGGGCGGACCGACGGCGCCACCGCUGAAGCCACCAGCAUUGCCAGACCCUGCAAGGACGUAGAUCAUACAGCAGAAGCGUACGCCCGAUCUACGGUGAGUGAAUUCUUCCUCGCGUAAAGCCAGUAACCCUCCUUCUGAGGGUACAAUUAGACGAAUUUCUGAUGAACAUGGCGAGGAUUUCCCAAGGGUUUGAUCACAAGAUGAUUGCUGGUUGAAGAUUCCGGGUUGAAAGCAGGAACGAACCAGGAUGUAAAGAAAGGAGGAUACGACGGCGGUGCGGUAGCGCCCGAGGGAGGAGUCGCCGAUGAGUCCGCCGAGGAUGGGGAGCACCAGGCACAACCCGCCCCACGCGUUCACGUUGGCGGCGGCGGAGGCGGUGGACUCCUGGAAGGCCCCCGUCAGGUAACUGAUGAGGUUGAUGCCGAUGCCGUAGUGGGCGAAAUGCUCCAACACGUCGGCCCCUUCAGUGCAACGGCGGAAGCGGAGCUUUGGCCACUGGUGGUUGCCGUGUCUCACCCAGAAGCGGAGGAAGAGAACGAUGGCGGGAGGCGCUUACCGAUGAUGAAGGGGGCGGAGCGCCAGCCGCCGGCGGCGGCCCGGGAGAAGAUCGGCUGCCCGCGGUGGUCGACGACGCCCUCAAUCGGUAACGGAGCGUCCUCCUCCCGUGUUCCCAUGCUGAGUCCUCCGGCGUGCGGUCUGUCCGCUGUGUCACGAUCAGGUCCCCUCGGGCCAUCAAAUACAUUUCCUCCUGGUUUCUGCGAGAUUCGAGGAGGGACCAGCACGAGGGUAAAUUAGCUGCUUCUCUCAUUCAUGUGAAGGGAAAAAAUAUUUAUGGUCAAAAACUAUUUUUCCCACCACGGGUUCACCACUUCCCGGUUUGUGGCCGUCAUCAGAUUUUUUUUAAUUUUCUAUUUUUGUUAUACAAUCGCUUUUUGCGGCGGCGUUUGGUUGGUGGAUGCGAACGGUGGAGCGGAUCUGGAGCUGCGAGCAGCUGGUUGGAUGAUUGGAGAGGACGACGGGGAGGAGCAAAUCGGGCGACAUAAUAGAGCUGUCGACGUGGUAGGGGGAGUACUAGGCGAAGUGGAGUGGUGAUGGGGCCCAGGCUGGGGUGCUACAGUUGGAUGAUAGGCUGGGGGGGCAUCAGCUCACCUAAUCUUUUAAAGAACACUACCUUUUGUGGAUAUUUACUUUAAUAUAUAUAUAAUUUAGUCAAUUUUUGGCUUCUUAAGACUAUGUUAAUGGAUAGCUUAAAUGGCUACUUUAUGGCACUAUACUAGGUAAUUCUAUUAUUUUCUUUAUUUUUUCCAUCAGAUGUAUGUACAACAUUGCUGCUCACCACUCUUUUGAGGUGAGGGAACUACGUUGGACUAACUAACCUAGACAUAUAUUUUUAUAUUCUGUCUUUCUUUUAUUUUAUUUCUAUUUUUCUAUUAUAAUAUAAUAGUGACAUUGUUGGAGUGAGAAAUUACAAGAAUAUUAUAGUGUAAUACUAUACAUAUGUCCCCUUACAUUUCCUCACUUGUGUGUGAAUAAGAUCUGAUUUGGCAUAAGUGAAACCAAAUAACCAAAUUUAAUAUACUAAAACUAGAUCAAUAUAAAUAAAAGUAAACAAGUAAUCAUUUUAACUAAACAUUUUAAUUUUAUCUUUUACCCUUCUCUCUCUUCUCACAAGCCAACUUUCUCACCACAAUCUUUGUAUUCUUUGGCGACUAGUGAACAGAUCCUCAUAAUUGGCCUUGAUAGUCAUCAUUAAAAGAUGCUAUUAGUGAUAAUAAAUUACAUACAUACUUACAUUUUAUUCUUCAAAAUAUAUUUGCUCAUAUCAAGACUAAUUAUUUAUUGACAUAUGUAGUCAUUGUUGUUGAGCUAAUAUAAUAAGAAUAUUCCAUCAGACAUUAUAAAUUUAAAAUAGCUAUUGUGAAAAAACCAAUAACUAGGGAUAUCAUUCUCAUAAAAUGAAAAAAUAAUCAAUAAAAAACUUGAUAAUUCAACUAAAAUUUGAGGAAGUAAGACCACUUAACUAUAAAAAUAUGUCAUCAUAGCUUGUUUGGUUUUAACUUUCUUGAAGUAGAAUUUUUUUCAAAUCCAUUACACUGAGUUUUCACCUAAAACUUUAUAAAGUUGAGUUUGUUACUAAAAUUAAUAAUUUCCAUGAUAUCAUCACAUUAGCAUGCCUCCAUUAAGGCAGUUAUAGAUAAAGGGAUUGAAAGCAUCAACUAUUCUAUAGGGAUCAUGAGGUGGAGAGGGGAAUUUCUCCAUUGAAAGAAUUAAAUCAUGUGAUAUAAUCUAAGAAAGAAGUAUCUAUGAAGUAACUAGAUAUCACAAUAUACAUUAAUAUUGAAUAAUGUCAACAAAGUGUAGAAAGAAUCGAGCAACAUGCAUCAUGCCAGUCAUGUGGAUAUAAGAAAACCUCAUCCACAAUGGGGAGAAUUAGAGUGUUAUUUUGAGUCAUGUCUCUCCAAGUUUAGAAGUGGACAUUAGUCACUAUCCUCUAUUCUCCCAUAUAUUAUCUCUCCCUCAUGUAUUCGUCUAUUUUAUGAGUUCAGCUUCUAUUAUAAUUGUUUGAUUAAUUUUUUUUGUUGCUAAGAAAAUGGAAUAAAUUUAAAAUUUAUAAAUUCAAUAAAAUAAGCUAACUUUAGAAAAAAAUAAUUUUAUUGUAGAUUUUUUUGGUUGAUCACAAGGAAGAUAAAAAUUAAUUAUUUAUUUAUGAUUUUUAGUUGAUAUAAUAAUGUAUUAAAUUAUUUUCUGAAAAAAUUAAAUAAAAUAAGUUAAAAAUAUAUAUUGAUGACCAUCAUUAUCAUUACCCUAAAAUAGACAUUAUCUGUUGAGGUCAAGAUUCAACAUAUUUAUAGAUUAUAUGAGAAAUAAAUUUAUUUUAGAGAAAUAAAUAGUCAUAUCUAAUAUCAUAAGUGUUGGGUUUUAGGCUAACGAAAGGAUGCAAUUAGGGGGUUUGAAUUGGUUACACUACUUUUUUUUCUUUGAAGAAUUUCUCAUUAAGAUAUUAUUCAAUUUUUUUAAUGAGUUGAUCCUUAUAAGUUGUGGAUAUAAAUUCAUUAUGUUAUAGUAGUUCAGUACCAAUCUAUGUGUACUUUUCAAGAACACUUCAUGUUCUUAUAUUUUACUAGUAUGAUCGUUUGAUCAUACUUGCUAAUUUUAAAGAUUCAACUCUCACAAAAUUUCACUUAGAAAUUCUCUUUUAGAUUCGCGACUUUAAGAGGCCCAACAAUUGUUUAACAUGAUAGUUUCUACCAAUAAUUAAUAAAAUAUAUAAUCACAAUUUAACCCACAAUAAAUGUAGACAAUAUCACCACGGGUUGAUUUUAAAAUAUGAAUGUUACAUACUUUGGAUUUUCAACGUAGAUGAUGUAAAUGUUGACUCUUUUUAGUUACCAAUUUGGUGGCACUAUAGUGAUGACUAGCUUGAGGAGUAAAACUUUAAUGCACACAGUUACUCAUCAAAUAAAUGUCUUUACUCUCAAUUAUCAGCCAAUUGUUCUUCUUCUUCUUUCUCUUGAAUGCAUUACAUAGAAAACACAUGAACAAGGGUACAAGUAUUUGGAAGAAUAAAUAUAAUCAUUAUGGAUUAAUUAUUUUCAUUAGAGAUCAAUAAUUUUUAUCAUUAAAUUAUGUACAAACUUAACCCAAAUUUUUCAUGAUCUUCUAAUGUCUAUAUUCACUUAAAAUACAAUUUAAUUCAAAAUUAUCGUAAAUCAAAUUAGAGAUGUCUUCUUUGUAUUUUGAAUAUUCUCUAUAAAAAUUAAUACAUGAAUCUUUUAGAAUAUAAUGCUUGUAUCCAUAACAAGUUAGUUUACUUGAAUCUGAUAAGAAUUUGAUAACAACUAUCGUGAAACUAGUAAUACAUGUUUUAAAAUAAUAAUGAUUUCUCAUUAAAUUUAAUCCAAAUUCUCUAAAAAAAAAUGUGAUAUAAGUUUACUUCGUAAAUCAUAAUCUCAAUGUUUCAAAUCAUAGUUGCAUUGAUCAAAGUACUAUGUAAAUUUUUUACAUAUAUUUAAUGAUAUUUAGAAAAUAAUAUUUGAUGAAAAUGAUAUUCAAUAGAACAUUCAAUUGAUUCAAUGUUAAAUCUAUUCGAACAUGAUGAAGUAAAAAUAUGAAUUCAUAUAUGGUUGAGUAAGCUUUCAUACCCAUAUUUUACUUCAUUGAUUCUUGUUGAUUCAAAUGUUCUAAUAAUUUAUAUUCUAUCUAUGACAAUUUUUUUAAAUCACGAUGACUUGCAUAAAAAUAUAUAUGAUGAUGAUUUUGUAUGUUGUUACGAUUAAACUAUGUUAAUUCACAUCAUGAGUCUUUCAUAUAUUCAAAUAACUCUCAUUUUUAUAUCUAAGGUUCAUGAAUUAAGUAUUUCAUACACUCAUUUAGAUUUAUUGUUGAUUCAUAAAUCAUUCUUAAUUUAUCUCUAAUUAUUUUUUCAUCAUUAAAAUAUAUUUCUAUUGUUCUAAAAAUAAGUAGUUCUAAAAAACUCUCACUUUUGACUUUGAUGUAAUAUACAAGAUGAAAACUAAAAACAAGACUAUCAACACCUUGUUAAGAGCUUUGAAUUGUGCGUGGUGUUACAAACAUAAGAAUUUUUGGUUUCCCAUGUUCCUUGAAAAAAUAUACUUUUAUUCCAUUUAAUAAACAACUAGUACAAUUGAAGUGGCUAUGCAUACAAAUCCAUUUAAGAAUAUAUAUGCUCCAAUUGGAAUUAAAAGUUCUAGAAUUGACAGAUAGUAGGCAGAGUAAUUAGGGGCACAAGGGUCUUGGUACUAUCCUAGCACGAAGAACCACGGAGGUGACUACAAUUAGUAGAAAUGUAACUCACUGGCCUAAACAACAAGCAAACACUUAAACGUGCAAGCUAGGGAUCACCUAACAAAUGAAAACAAGGAGGGAGUACAAGCUAUGAAAUUAUCAUGACUAGAAUUGAUCAAUUUGACUCAAAUCUCAUAGGAAAAUUGAGAGGAUCCUCAACUAGCAACCAAAAUUGGCUAUCUUAUCCAUAGAGGGAUAAUUGGCCUCAAUAUUAGCUCCAAAAAAGCCAAUUAUUCUACUAUGGGCAUUUAAUGACCUAUAAAAACCCUUCAUUGAUUCCACACCUUAUGCAAGACUUUUACAAGUCAACAACUUGCUAGUACUCAAGACUCAUAUAGACUUAUCUUCAAAUCCAUCAAAAUAUUUGGUAAAUGUGUGUGAUGUCUACAUCAAGAGAUAUGCAGCUACUUGUCCUACCUAUUAGAAGAGCAAGUCCAAGUCUCUCUCUUUUAUUGGUCUUUAUCACCCCCUUCCAAUUUUAGAGAAAAUCUGGGCUAACCUCACAAUAAAUUUUUUCAAAGAAUUACCUAACUCAUGAGGGUUCAAUAAAAUAUUGUUCAUGGUAUAUUAGAUAAACAAAUAUGUUCACUUUUCUCCUCUCCAACAUUCAUUCACCAUCAAAAGAUAUACCUUUAAUUUGUAUCUAAGAUAUCGUCCAACUUUAUAUUUUUCAAAAUAAUUUUUUUGAAUAUUUUUUAAAAGAAACUCUUAAAUUAUAAGAGAUAACUCUAUGUUAAAUCAGUUCAUACAACCUAAAAUUCAAUGGUUACUCCAAAGUGGUCCACUACGUGCUAGAGACCUAUCUUUGUAGCUUUUACCGAUGAUUAUAUACACCAAUAAAGCAACUCACUAGUGUGGGCCGAAUUCUAAUUUAAUAAUAAUGUUGAUUACUUCACAAGGUCUCUCAUGAUCAAAAUCAUCUUUGGGUAUAAUCUACCUUCUCUUUUCUGGUACAAGCCUUACUCAACUGAAGUAGCCAAACUUUACCAACUCAAACAACACCUAGCUAAGGCUCACGCUCACGUGAAGGUGCACAUUGAUCGGAAGAGACAAUGCCUCAAGUUUGAGGAGGGGGCCUCAAAUUACCUUUAAAUAUGUCCAUAUUGAUAGAGAUUCCUUGCGAGGAGACCCUAUUAGAUACUAGGAUAGUGCUACUUUGGCCCAUUCAACGUUCUCAAGCAUAUUGGGCUAGUGGCUUAUUGAUUAGAUAUCCAACCCACAUCUAAUAUCUAUCUAAUAUUUCACAUAUCUUAGAUUAAGAAAUCAAAUGCAUCCACCCUCCUAUGCCCAUUACCUCACUAAGGUUAAAUGGUGGCCUUACUUGGAACAUGUAAUUGUUUGAAAUUUUAGUGAUCUGUCAUAAUCGUUAAAGUUAUAAGUUCUCAUCAAAUAAUUGUAGUUGCCUACUUUGGAGGCCACUUAAGAAUUAGUUUGUAGCAUCAGUUAAUAAUGUUUUGAAAUUUCACCUCUGGACAAAGUGAGUCUCAUAUAGAAGUGUAUUGUUGAGGCACGCAUCUCAACCCCUCACCCAUGUGAGAAGAGACCUUAGCUAACAUGUGGAAAAGAUCCCAUUAGUCGGGAGGGGACAAAUUGGGCUAAUAACAUGUUCACAUGGUGCUCUGCUAGCGUCCAGACGGUGGCUCCCGCCUCUGCCCUGCCGCCGUCCAGGUGGCUUUGCACGCCUGUUGCGGCACUCCACCCCUCAAUGCCAGCGCUGGCAGUGGUGGACCGCGUCACCGGGUGACCCUGGUGCCGCGAAUGGCGCACGGCCCAUCACAGCCACUACCGCCAUUGCGCAUCACACCUCGUUCUUUAUUAUUACGGUGACGCAGUCCACCACAUUCUUUAUUAUGUUGACAGUCCAAUGCACGAUAAAGAACUUAGAAAACCAAAGGUCUUGUUCCCAUCAAAUAGAACCGAGAGAAGAGAAACGAAAGAGAGAGAACAGAGUCUUAAUGACGUCAUCACCCUUCUCUUGAAACAUGGAUUCUCUCUAAAUAGAGGGUGUGCGUCGUUUCCCACUAGAGUAGUUAUUGGGUAUUAUAAGGGUAGUUAGAAGGGAUAAUUAUUAUGUUAAUGGGCCAUAUAAUAACCAACACUAAAAAGAUGCGUAUUUCCCACUCUUUUAUGACAAUAAACCAUGGGGGGAAGCUGUACUAAGCUGUUGCAAUCUAGGCCCGGAUGUAAUCACUGAAUCGGAAGAUCCCCAGCGAGUACUCAUAUUUUGCUAGAGUUCCAAUGUACUUUUACAGCUCCUAGUAUGAAUCGGCAAUGAAGAAGUCUUUGAUCCAAUGGUUAUUGGGAUUUAGACUGCUUAAAAAUGUCCAGGGUGGUCCAAAGACCCUUCAGCUCUGACCAGGCACUCCAAUUCCAAGGAUAGCCGUGGACAGAUUCCACUAGAACAGAACAGGCGAGGCUCUAACACCCUUUAUCUCUCAGAACAAUUCUAUAAAAGUACAGACAGAAGGGAUCCAUGGUGCCACAUCUUCUAAACGCGGAAAGUUCUCUCUCUAAAUGAGCUAGUUCGCCAUUGAAUACCUCACUCCGCCCUAAGGGUCCCUCAAGUUCAAUCAGCCCUUCCUUUUUUUGUUUCUCUCCAGCCUAGAAAAUAACAGAAAUCUAAGCAUGAAUCCUAAUGCAUAAAUUCGUAAAAUGUCAGAAAAUUAUGUAGAGUACGGUCAGCAUAAGCGCAUAAUCGAUCAUGCAUGAAAGCAGGGAAAAGACCCAAAUGGUAAUAGUUCAGAAACGUAAAAUUCUGUCUCAAUGAUCCUCACCGUAUGAUUUCAAAUACAUAGAAUGAGUUUUAGAUAAUCAAUUAGCUUGGCUCAGGGUCUGGCGGAUCUUCUACAGCUACCUUAUACCGAAUUCAUAAUCUAUUAUCUCACUUGAAGCCUCUGACAACAGACAUUUUGGAGGCGCAUGGAAUAAAGGAUUUAAAAGGUAAAGUACAAACACACAUCAUCUUCGAGCUUCUCUACAAUUCCAGGUCUUUAUUUUGCAGGGAUCAAUCUUAUUCGAACAUAAUCUAUUUCGAGGGCACAUUAUCAGAGCUCAGUAGGUAUAGAUUGGCAUCUUGUAUGACCCCUGAGUUUCCGAUUGUCCAUUUCAAUAAAUUAAUCCUCUAUGGCGUAUGACGGAAUACCAAUCUGGUUAUGCAUUAACAGCAAGUAGACACAAAUACCGAUUUAUCAAAGAGAUGAAAAUAUCUCAAUCACUAAAUUAGUAGAAAUAGUCGAGGGUAUGAUGCACAGAGCUCUUCUAAAGCAACAUAAUACAGACUAGUAGUUACUGAUUAAUCAAGAUACGGAGAAAAAUUACAUUAAAGCCGGAAAUAUUUAUCUCCAAAUGAAUUUCAUCGCGAAAAAAAGGAAUUUUCAUUUUCUGCUUUUUCAACCUCAGACUGAUGCAACUCCAGCCAUAUUCUAAUGGGAACGCAGUCAUGGCCCAAGGCGUUCUGUUUCCUCGUGAUCAGGCAAAAUCAGGCUGCACGCGGCCGCUCAAUGAAUCCGGCUACCUAGUUACGAAGAAAAAUAUAUAUAUAGAGAGAGAGAGAGACAAAAUAUAUGUGAAAUAAUUAUGAACCAGGCAAGAGUGUAUGUCGAACAAAGAAGGACAUAAAAUUGUGGAAGCAGAAAGGGAUACCAGGUACAGAGCGUAGCACCGGAGAAAGAUGGACUUCUUUGAUGUCUGCGCCCGGAGCACGUGAGCAGCCCUGCGAUACUCCUUGCAGAGGAGGUAGUAGUCCGCGCCGUCGUCGAUCUCGUCCUCGAUAGGGAAGGGGUGCUCACAUCGGACACCCCGCCCGUGGGCGUGGCAGAGAACACCUCGCUACCCGCGCCAGGGCGGGACCUGCUGCGGCGGAAGCUGGAGCCGUCCCGGUGGAGGUGCUCUUGCUGAUGGUGAGGACGGGCGCUGCUUGCCUUGCCAGCACUGGCAGAGGAUCUGGGCUCGUCCUGAUCGAUGCCCACAGGUACUUGUCCCGCCCUAAUCAACAGCGCAGGCGGACAAAGAGUCAAAAGCACCGGUCUCCAAGCUGCCGGAUCGCCGACCGGAGCUCGUUCCUGUAGCUUUCUAGCGGCAACAAGAGCUGACUUAGAGGAAGAAGUUACCAUUUCGAGCCCAUCUCCCUCCACAGCCCUGCUGCGUCUCUCUCUCUCUCUCUCCCCUUCGUUUCUCUCUCUACAGACCGAGGGCCAGCAGGACAACCGAGAAACGAAAUCGACGAUGAUAUCUCGCGGGGUUUUUUUCAAGUUUCAGCCUUCAGUGUAGCGGGGGAGAUUGUGGCCCCGUUUCGAUUGCAGGAGAGGGUGAAAUUUCGAGUGAUUCCCGAACACCUAAAUCGGCCAACCAUCGGACGCAACAAGCCCGGGUUAUCAUCAUCACCGUCCUUCUGAAAUAAUCAGAAUUACAAGGGUUAACACCGCAGAUCUUCUUCAGGCGGCGCCGCUCAGCUUGUUUCUCUGCCUGUAGACGAAGGAACGAGCGAAGUACAGGAAUAAGAGGACAUCGACGGAACUCAGCGCCGCCAGCAGCCAGUAGAAGUAGUCCAGGUGGGCACGGUUGAGGUUGUCGGAGAACCAGUCCUCCCCCCACCAGGCGCUGACUCUCUGGAUUACCAAGAUGAAGAAGCCGCUGGUGAUGCUCCCGACACCGAAGAUGCUCAUGCAGAGGGCGAGGCCCAAGCUCCUCGUGGCGGCGGGCACCUGGUCGUAGAAGAACUCAUGCAAACCCACCAGGGUGAAGACGCUAGAGACCCCGAGGAAGACGUACUGAGGAACGAGCCACCACAGGCUCAUGGGGAUGGCGGCGCCCGGUAAGUCUACCAGCCCGAAGUCUCUGGCGGUUUGGAGCCGCUUCGUCUCCACUGUGGCGGCGGCGGACAUGGAGAAGACUGAGAGCACCAUGCCAACGCCGAUCCUCUGGAGCAUCGUCAAGCCCGGGGGCCGCCCGGUGAAGGCUCUGGCAAUGGGGACGAAAACGCGGUCGUAGAUGGGCACGAAGGCGAGGACGGAGAGGUUGAUGAAACUAUGGAGCGCCGCAGGGGGGAUGAGGAAGGAGUCGGUGAUUCUCCUGUCCAUAGUGCUGCCCUGCUUGGUGAAUAAGGUCGAGGACUGCGCAGCCACCACGGCGUACAGCAAGCAGGUUGCCCAUAUUGGGAGCAAUCUGAGGACCUCUCGAGGGCCGUCUGUGGCACCAUCCUCCUCCCCGGCAGACCUUCAGAGUGGGAGCCCAUGAGGAAAGACGCCAGCCACCAAGUACAACGCGGAGAAGAAGAACGCCGUCUGGAAUUGGGAGGGGAGGCAGCUCUCCCGGCUGCCGCCGCCGCACUCCGGCGGGCGGAGCGACGGCGCCACCGCUGAAGCCACCAGCAUCGCCAGACCCUGCAGGGAUGUAGAUCAUACGGCAGGAGCGUACGCCCGAUCUACGGUGGUUAAAUUCUUCCUCGCGUGAAACCAGUAACCCUCCUUCCGAGGGUACAAUUAGACGAAUUUCUGAAGAAUAUGGCGAGGAUUUCCCAAGUAUUAUAUCACAAGAUUCCGGCUGGAGGAGCAGGAACGGACCAGGACGUAAAUAAUUGAGGAUACGACGGCGGUGCGGUAGCGCCCGAGGGAGGAGUCGCCGAUGAGUCCGCCGAGAAUGGGGAGCAUCUGAGACACCCCGCUGAUGAGGUUGACGGAGAUGCCGUAGUAGGCGAACCGCUCCGACAGCUCGCCCCCUUCAGCGCAACGCCGGCGGCGGAGUUUUGGUCACUGAUGGUCGCCGAGUCUCACUCUGAAGCGGAGGAACAAGACGGUGGCGGGCGGCGCUUACCGAUGAUGAAGACGGCGGAGGGCCAGCCGCCGGCGGCGGACCGGGAGAAGAUCGGCUGCCCACGGUGGUCGACGAUGCGCUCAAUCGGUAGCGGAGCGUCCUCCUCCCGAGUUCCCAUGGUAAGUCCUGCGGGUUGCCUGUCCAGUACGGCAGAUAGUUCUCCUUGGGCCUUCUAACUCCGUCCCCCAAUUGUUUCCUUGGGAUUGGAGGAGGAACAAGGAUGGGGGUCAAUUGCUGAUUUUUUUAAUCAUCUGGAGGGAAAUCUGCUCCUGGUUAGCUGUGCGUGGAGUUUUCUUGGCACCUUGUGGCACUUUACUAGCCAGGACGGUGAUUUUCUUUACUUUUUUUCUCGUGAAAUGCACAACACUAGGAAACUAAACUAGGAAGCCAGGAAAUAAGAUUAAAACAUCUUAUAUCUAACCUUAAUAUUUAUUUUUAUUUUUUCAAUUAUGAUAUAAUUAUAUCGUCAUUAAAACUUGCGAUAAUAAAUUGCAGUUUAAAAAUAACGUUUUAUUUUCUUAGUUAUUCUGUGGACCGAAUAAACAUGUAUUUCUUGACACGAAGAACCACUUUUAGUGAGCUAAUUGGGGGAGACUUUUCCAUGAUAAACUAUAAAUGUAAAAUAACGACAGUGAAGCACUAAAAACUGAAAGUAUGAUUCCCAUAAAAUGAACAAAAAUAUAGUCAAGAAAUAGUCAUCUUCCUCACAGAGGGAGUGUAACCGUCAUCUUCCUCAGACGGUGGCCUUGACCUUGCUCUUGUAAUGGAAGAGCCGAGCGAAGUGCAGGAAGAAGAUCAACGCCACGGAGAUGAGACCGGCGAUGAGCCAGAAGAAAUAGUCAAGGUGGCGGCGGUUGAGAUUGUCGGAGAACCAGCUGUCCCCGCUGUUUCUGCUGGCGCUGUCGAUCGCCGAAACGAGGAAGCUGCUGAUGAAGCUCCCGAUCCCGAAGAUGCUCAAGUAGAGGGCCAGGCCGAGGCUCCUCAGCCCGUCAGGCACCUGGUCGUAGAAGAACUCUUGUAGGCCGACCAUGGCGAAAACAUCUGAGGCGCGAGGUCAUGAUCGAUGGCCACAGCUAAUUCUCCCGCCCUAAUCGAGCAGCGUAGGCGGACAAAGAGUUACAAGCAGAGGCCAAUCCAGCGAGAACAAGAGCCACCUAAUAUGGAGACGCCACCAUUUCGAAGCGGAGUACAGGCACCGGUCUCCGAGCUGCCGGAUCGUCUUCCGUAGCUCGUUCCUGUUUCUCUCCUUCGAGCCCAUCUCUAUCCACAGCUCGGCUGCAUCUCUCUCUCUCUCUCUCUCUCUUUUCGGGCACGUGUCGGCUCCCCAAGUUGUCAUGACCGGAGGAGCGAUACGGGGCCUCUUUUAUUUUAGCUUUAGUUUAUUACUUUGUCUUGUGAGGGUUUUUAAUUGUGAGUCGAGUGGUGAUAAAUUAUCAUAUUAUUUAUUCCAAUUGCCAUCGCACGAUGCGAUUCCGGUCUCUAUCUGCUCAUCUCCUCCCUCAUAUCAUUGGCCGUCUCUCUAUUGCUUGGAAGAUAGAGGUCCAUCCCAAGGGGUCUAUUCUGCAAGAGGACGCCGGUGGAGAGGUUGAGGUGGUCCACCACUUGGUGGGUCAUAUUUAUCUCUUAAUUAAUUGAUCUGAUAAUCCUCAUUAUCCUUAUAUUACACAUUAUCUAAACACGCUUUCGCACCUGAAAUUCUCUUCACUCUCCCUAGGUUAUGUCUACAGACCAAGAGCCAGCAAUACAGCCGGGAAACAAAAUCGGCGGCGAUACCUCGCAGAGGGCUUUUCAAGCUUCAGCCUUCAGUGAAGCGGAGGGGAGUUGUGGCCCAGUUUGGAUUGCAGGAGAUGAUGAAAUUUCGAGUGAUUCCCGGACACCUAAAUCGGCCCACCAUCGGACGCAACAAGCCCGGGAUAUCAUCAUCACCGUCCUUCUAACAAAAUCAGAAUUACAAGGGUUAACAUGGCAUAUUUUCUUCAGGCGGCGCCGCUCCGCUUCUUUCCUGGUUGUAGACGAAGGUGCGAGCGCAGUACAGGAACAAGACGAUCUCGACGGAGCACAGCGCCACCAGCAGCCAGUAGAAGUAGUCCAGGUGGGCACGGUUGAGGUUGUCGGAGAACCAGUUCUCCCCCCACCAGGCGCUGACUCUCUGGAUUACCAAGAUGAAGAAGCCGCUGGUGAAGCUCCCGACGCCGAAGAUGCUCAUGUAGAGGGCGAGGCCCAAGCUCCUCUUGGCGGCGGGCACCUGGUCGUAGAAGAACUCUUGAAGACCCACCACGGUGAAGACGCUGGAGACCCCGAGGAGGACGUACUGAGGAACGAGCCACCACAGGCUCAUGGGGAUGGGGGCGCCUGGUGAGUCUACCAGCCCGAAGUCUCUGGCGGUUUGGAGCCGCUUCGUCUCCACCGUGGCGGCGGCGACCAUGGCGAUGACUGAGAGCACCAUGCCGACGCCAAUCCUCUGGAGCAUCGUCAAGCCCGAGGGCCGCCCGGUGAAGGCUCUGAUUAUGGGGACGAAAACGCGGUCGUAGAUGGGCACGAAGGCGAGGACGGAGAGGUUGAUGAAACUCUGGAGCGCCGCAGGGGGGAUGAGGAAGGAGGCGGUGAUUCUCCUGUCCAUAGUGCUGCCCUGUUUGGUGAAUAAGGUCGAGGACUGCGCAGCCACCACGGCGUACGGCAAGCAGGUUGCCCAGAUUGGAAGCAAUC
rnacentral:lncRNA from 1 species